AUUGAACGCUGGCGGCAGGCUUAACACAUGCAAGUCGAGCGGGGUGAUGGUGCUUGCACUAUCACUUAGCGGCGGACGGGUGAGUAAUGCUUAGGAAUCUGCCUAUUAGUGGGGGACAACAUCCCGAAAGGGAUGCUAAUACCGCAUACGUCAUACGGGAGAAAGCAGGGGAUCACUUGUGACCUUGCGCUAAUAGCUGAGCCUAAGUCGGAUUAGCUAGUUGGUGGGGUAAAGGCCUACCAACGCGACGAUCUGUAGCGGGUCUUAGAGGAUGAUCCGCCACACUGAGACUGAGACACGGCCCAGACUCCUACGGGAGGCAGCAGUGGGGAAUAUUGGACAAUGGGGGGAACCCUGAUCCAGCCAUGCCGCGUGUGUGAAGAAGGCCUUAUGGUUGUAAAGCACUUUAAGCGAGGAGGAGGCUCUCUUGGUUAAUACCCAAGAUGAGUGGACGUUACUCGCAGAAUAAGCACCGGCUAACUCUGUGCCAGCAGCCGCGGUAA
rnacentral:rRNA from 1 species